rnacentral:sRNA from 1 species
CAUUACACAAAUAUGAAGGCGGGCUGGAACCUCUCGGGGUUACAGCCUUGCUGAAUUAUUCACCCUUGUCUUUUGCGUACUUCUUGUUUCCUUGGUGGGUUCGCCCACCACUAGGACAACCAUAAACCUUUUGUAAUUGCAAUCAGCGUCAGUAACAAAUUAAUAAUUACAACUUUCAACAACGGAUCUCUUGGUUCUGGCAUCGAUGAAGAACGCAGCGAAAUGCGAUAAGUAGUGUGAAUUGCAGAAUUCAGUGAAUCAUCGAAUCUUUGAACGCACAUUGCGCCCUUUGGUAUUCCAAAGGGCAUGCCUGUUCGAGCGUCAUUUGUACCCUCAAGCUUUGCUUGGUGUUGGGCGUCUUGUCUCUAGCUUUGCUGGAGACUCGCCUUAAAGUAAUUGGCAGCCGGCCUACUGGUUUCGGAGCGCAGCACAAGUCGCACUCUCUAUCAGCAAAGGUCUAGCAUCCAUUAAGCCUUUUUUUCAACUUUUGACCUCGGAUCAGGUAGGGAUACCCGCUGAACUUAAGCAUAUCAAUAAGCGGAGGAAAAAAU